rnacentral:rRNA from 1 species
CCUACGGGUGGCAGCAGUGAGGAAUAUUGGUCAAUGGUCGGAAGACUGAACCAGCCAAGCAGCGUGCGGGAUGAAGGUCCAGCGUAUCGUAAACCUCUUUUGUCAGGGAACAACGGCGGGGACGUGUCCCCGGAUGAGUGUACCUGAAGAAAAAGCAUCGGCUAACUCCGUGCCAGCAGCCGCGGUAAUACGGAGGAUGCGGGCGUUAUCCGGAUUUAUUGGGUUUAAAGGGUGCGCAGGCGGUCUGUUAAGUCAGCGGUAAAAGCCCGGGGCUCAACCCCGGCCCGCCGUUGAAACUGGCAGGCUCGAGUUGGAGAGAAGCAUGCGGAAUGCGCGGUGUAGCGGUGAAAUGCAUAGAUAUCGCGAAGAACUCCGAUUGCGAAGGCAGCAUGCUAGCUCCACACUGACGCUGAGGCACGAAAGCGUGGGUAUCGAACAGGAUUAGAUACCCCUGUAGUC